rnacentral:rRNA from 1 species
GACGAACGCUGGCGGCGCGCUUAACACAUGCAAGUCGAACGGAAAGGCCUGCUUUCCCUUGUGUAUUGCGGGUACUCGAGUGGCCAACGGGUGAGUACCACGUGAGUGAUCUGCCCCCAACUUGGGUAUAAGCCUGGGAUACUGUGUCUAAUUCCCGAUAGUACUGCAGGGUGGUGCCGGUGGUGGAACACGAUUUUCUAGUGGUAGGGGAUGAGCUCUCGGCCUAUCAGCUAGUUGGUGGGGUAAGGGCAAACCAAGGCGACGACGGGUAGCCGGACUGGGACGGUGAGGGGCGACGGUCGAACUGAGACACGGUCCAGGCUCCUACGCGAGGGAGAAGCAGGAGGUGGGAGACAUGGAGAGUGAGCGGAAGCCUGACGCAGCGAGGGCGUGAGGAGGAUGACGGGCUUCGGGUGGUAAACUGCUUGCGACCGAGAGGAAGACACCUGGAUGGAAGGGUGGUGACGGUAGUGGUAGAAGAAGCACCGGCUAACUACGUG